rnacentral:rRNA from 1 species
CCCUUAGAUGUUCUGGGCCGCACGCGCGCUACACUGACGAAGUCAGCGAGCAUGUCCUACGCCGACAGGUGCGGGGAAUCUUGUCAAACUUCGUCGUGAUGGGGAUUGAUUAUUGAAAUUCUUGAUCAUCAACGAGGAAUUCCUAGUAAGCGCAAGUCAGCAGCUUGCGUUGAUUACGUCCCUGCCCUUUGUACACACCGCCCGUCGCACCUACCGAUUGAAUGGUCCGGUGAAAUCUUCGGAUUGAGACUUUGUUUUCUUCACGGAAAACGCUGUUUUAAAAAGUUGAUUAAACCUUACCAUUUAGAGGAAGGUGAAGUCGUAACA